GAUGAACGCUGGCGGCGUGCCUAAUACAUGCAAGUCGAGCGAACGGACGAGAAGCUUGCUUCUCUGAUGUUAGCGGCGGACGGGUGAGUAACACGUGGAUAACCUACCUAUAAGACUGGGAUAACUUCGGGAAACCGGAGCUAAUACCGGAUAAUAUUUUGAACCGCAUGGUUCAAAAGUGAAAGACGGUCUUGCUGUCACUUAUAGAUGGAUCCGCGCUGCAUUAGCUAGUUGGUAAGGUAACGGCUUACCAAGGCAACGAUGCAUAGCCGACCUGAGAGGGUGAUCGGCCACACUGGAACUGAGACACGGUCCAGACUCCUACGGGAGGCAGCAGUAGGGAAUCUUCCGCAAUGGGCGAAAGCCUGACGGAGCAACGCCGCGUGAGUGAUGAAGGUCUUCGGAUCGUANAACUCUGUUAUUAGGGAAGAACAUAUGUGUAAGUAACUGUGCACAUCUUGACGGUACCUAAUCAGAAAGCCACGGCUAACUACGUGCCAGCAGCCGCGGUAAUACGUAGGUGGGCAGCGUUAUCCGGAAUUAUUGGGCGUNAAGCGCGCGUAGGCGGUUUUUUAGUCUGAUGUGAAAGCCCACGGCUCAACCGUGGAGGGUCAUUGGAAACUGGAAAACUUGAGUGCAGAAGAGGAAAGUGGAAUUCCAUGUGUAGCGGUGAAAUGCGCAGAGAUAUGGAGGAACACCAGUGGCGAAGGCGACUUUCUGGUCUGUAACUGACGCUGAUGUGCGAAAGCGUGGGGAUCAAACAGGAUUAGAUACCCUGGUAGUCCACGCCGUAAACGAUGAGUGCUAAGUGUUAGGGGGUUUCCGCCCCUUAGUGCUGCAGCUAACGCAUUAAGCACUCCGCCUGGGGAGUACGACCGCAAGGUUGAAACUCAAAGGAAUUGACGGGGACCCGCACAAGCGGUGGAGCAUGUGGUUUAAUUCGAAGCAACGCGAAGAACCUUACCAAAUCUUGACAUCCUUUGACAACUCUAGAGAUAGAGCUUUCCCCUUCGGGGGACAAAGUGACAGGUGGUGCAUGGUUGUCGUCAGCUCGUGUCGUGAGAUGUUGGGUUAAGUCCCGCAACGAGCGCAACCCUUAAGCUUAGUUGCCAUCAUUAAGUUGGGCACUCUAAGUUGACUGCCGGUGACAAACCGGAGGAAGGUGGGGAUGACGUCAAAUCAUCAUGCCCCUUAUGAUUUGGGCUACACACGUGCUACAAUGGACAAUACAAAGGGCAGCGAAACCGCGAGGUCAAGCAAAUCCCAUAAAGUUGUUCUCAGUUCGGAUUGUAGUCUGCAACUCGACUACAUGAAGCUGGAAUCGCUAGUAAUCGUAGAUCAGCAUGCUACGGUGAAUACAUUCCCGGGUCU
rnacentral:rRNA from 1 species